AGGGUUUGACCUGGCUCAGGAUGAACGCUGGCGGCGUGCUUAACACAUGCAAGUCGAACGGGAAAUACUUUAUUGAAACUUCGGUGGAUUUAAUUUAUUUCUAGUGGCGCACGGGUGAGUAACACGUAUCCAACCUGCCGAUGACUCGGGGAUAGCCUUUCGAAAGAAAGAUUAAUACCCGAUGGCAUAGUUCUUCCGCAUGGUGGAACUAUUAAAGAAUUUCGGUCAUCGAUGGGGAUGCGUUCCAUUAGGUUGUUGGCGGGGUAACGGCCCACCAAGCCUUCGAUGGAUAGGGGUUCUGAGAGGAAGGUCCCCCACAUUGGAACUGAGACACGGUCCAA
rnacentral:rRNA from 1 species